rnacentral:rRNA from 1 species
AUUGAACGCUGGCGGCAGGCCUAACACAUGCAAGUCGAACGGUAACAGGAAGAAGCUUGCUUCUUUGCUGACGAGUGGCGGACGGGUGAGUAAUGUCUGGGAAACUGCCUGAUGGAGGGGGAUAACUACUGGAAACGGUAGCUAAUACCGCAUAACGUCGCAAGACCAAAGAGGGGGACCUUCGGGCCUCUUGCCAUCGGAUGUGCCCAGAUGGGAUUAGCUAGUAGGUGGGGUAACGGCUCACCUAGGCGACGAUCCCUAGCUGGUCUGAGAGGAUGACCAGCCACACUGGAACUGAGACACGGUCCAGACUCCUACGGGAGGCAGCAGUGGGGAAUAUUGCACAAAGGGCGCAAGCCUGAUGCAGCCAUGCCGCGUGUAUGAAGAAGGCCUUCGGGUUGUAAAGUACUUUCAGCGGGGAGGAAGGGAGUAAAGUUAAUACCUCUGCUCAUUGACGUUACCCGCAGAAGAAGCACCGGCUAACUCCGUG